GGGUUGUGAGGUUAAGCGACUAAGCGUACACGGUGGAUGCCCUGGCAGUCAGAGGCGAUGAAGGACGUGCUAAUCUGCGAAAAGCGUCGGUAAGGUGAUAUGAACCGUUAUAACCGGCGAUGUCCGAAUGGGGAAACCCAGUGCAAUUCGUUGCACUAUCGUUAACUGAAUACAUAGGUUAACGAGGCGAACCGGGGGAACUGAAACAUCUAAGUACCCCGAGGAAAAGAAAUCAACCGAGAUUCCCCCAGUAGCGGCGAGCGAACGGGGAGCAGCCCAGAGUCUGAAUCAGCUUGUGUGUUAGUGGAACGGUCUGGAAAGUCCGACGGUACAGGGUGAUAGUCCCGUACACCAAAAUGCACAGGCUGUGAACUCGAAGAGUAGGGCGGGACACGUGGUAUCCUGUCUGAAUAUGGGGGGGACCAUCCUCCAAGGCUAAAUACUCCUGACUGACCGAUAGUGAACCAGUACCGUGAGGGAAAGGCGAAAAGAACCCCGGCGAGGGGAGUGAAAAAGAACCUGAAACCGUGUACGUACAAGCAGUGGGAGCACCUUCGGGUGUGACUGCGUACCUUUGUAUAAUGGGUCAGCGACUUAUAUUCUGUAGCAAGGUUAACCGUAUAGGGGAGCCGCAGGGAAACCGAGUCUUAACUGGGCGUUAAGUUGCAGGGUAUAGACCCGAAACCCGGUGAUCUCAGCCAUGGGCAGGUUGAAGGUUGGGUAACACUAACUGGAGGACCGAACCGACUAAUGUUGAAAAAAAUUAGCGGAUGACUUGUGGCUGGGGGUGAAAGGCCAAUCAAACCGGGAGAUAGCUGGUUCUCCCCGAAAGCUAUUUAGGUAGCGCCUCGUGAACUCAUCUUCGGGGGUAGAGCACUGUUUCGGCUAGGGGGUCAUCCCGACUUACCAACCCGAUGCAAACUACGAAUACCGAAGAAUGUUAUCACGGGAGACACACGGCGGGUGCUAACGUCCGUCGUGAAGAGGGAAACAACCCAGACCGCCAGCUAAGGUCCCAAAGUCAUGGUUAAGUGGGAAACGAUGUGGGAAGGCACAGACAGCCAGGAUGUUGGCUUAGAAGCAGCCAUCAUUUAAAGAAAGCGUAAUAGCUCACUGGUCGAGUCGGCCUGCGCGGAAGAUGUAACGGGGCUAAACCAUGCACCGAAGCUGCGGCAGCGACACUAUGUGUUGUUGGGUAGGGGAGCGUUCUGUAAGCCUGCGAAGGUGACCUGUGAGGGUUGCUGGAGGUAUCAGAAGUGCGAAUGCUGACAUAAGUAACGAUAAAGCGGGUGAAAAGCCCGCUCGCCGGAAGACCAAGGGUUCCUGUCCAACGUUAAUCGGGGCAGGGUGAGUCGACCCCUAAGGCGAGGCCGAAAGGCGUAGUCGAUGGGAAACAGGUUAAUAUUCCUGUACUUGGUGUUACUGCGAAGGGGGGACGGAGAAGGCUAUGUUAGCCGGGCGACGGUUGUCCCGGUUUAAGCAUGUAGGCUGGUUAUCCAGGCAAAUCCGGAUAAUCAAGGCUGAGGUGUGAUGACGAGGCACUACGGUGCUGAAGUAACAAAUGCCCUGCUUCCAGGAAAAGCCUCUAAGCAUCAGGUAACAUCAAAUCGUACCCCAAACCGACACAGGUGGUCAGGUAGAGAAUACCAAGGCGCUUGAGAGAACUCGGGUGAAGGAACUAGGCAAAAAUGGUGCCGUAACUUCGGGAGAAGGCACGCUGGUGUGUAGGUGAAGUCCCUGCGGAUGGAGCUGAGACCAGUCGAAGAUACCAGCUGGCUGCAACUGUUUAUUAAAAACACAGCACUGUGCAAACACGAAAGUGGACGUAUACGGUGUGACGCCUGCCCGGUGCCGGAAGGUUAAUUGAUGGGGUUAUCCGUAAGGAGAAGCUCUUGAUCGAAGCCCCGGUAAACGGCGGCCGUAACUAUAACGGUCCUAAGGUAGCGAAAUUCCUUGUCGGGUAAGUUCCGACCUGCACGAAUGGCGUAAUGAUGGCCAGGCUGUCUCCACCCGAGACUCAGUGAAAUUGAACUCGCUGUGAAGAUGCAGUGUACCCGCGGCAAGACGGAAAGACCCCGUGAACCUUUACUAUAGCUUGACACUGAACAUUGAGCCUUGAUGUGUAGGAUAGGUGGGAGGCUUUUGAAGCGUGGACGCCAGUCUGCGUGGAGCCAACCUUGAAAUACCACCCUUUAAUGUUUGAUGUUCUAACGUUGGCCCCUGACCGGGGUUGCGGACAGUGUCUGGUGGGUAGUUUGACUGGGGCGGUCUCCUCCCAAAGCGUAACGGAGGAGCACGAAGGUUAGCUAAUCUGGUCGGACAUCAGGAGGUUAGUGCAAUGGCAUAAGCUAGCUUGACUGCGAGCGUGACGGCGCGAGCAGGUGCGAAAGCAGGUCAUAGUGAUCCGGUGGUUCUGAAUGGAAGGGCCAUCGCUCAACGGAUAAAAGGUACUCCGGGGAUAACAGGCUGAUACCGCCCAAGAGUUCAUAUCGACGGCGGUGUUUGGCACCUCGAUGUCGGCUCAUCACAUCCUGGGGCUGAAGUAGGUCCCCAAGGGUAUGGCUGUUCGCCAUUUAAAGUGGUACGCGAGCUGGGUUUAGAACGUCGUGAGACAGUUCGGUCCCUAUCUGCCGUGGGCGCUGGAGAAUUGAGGGGGGCUGCUCCUAGUACGAGAGGACCGGAGUGGACGCAUCACUGGUGUUCGGGUUGUCAUGCCAAUGGCACUGCCCGGUAGCUAAAUGCGGAAGAGAUAAGUGCUGAAAGCAUCUAAGCACGAAACUUGCCCCGAGAUGAGUUCUCCCUGAGACUUUAAGUCUCCUGAAGGAACGUUGAAGACGACGACGUUGAUAGGCCGGGUGUGUAAGCGCAGCGAUGCGUUGAGCUAACCGGUACUAAUGAACCGUGAGGCUUAACCUUACAACGCCGAAG
rnacentral:rRNA from 1 species